GGCUCAGGAUGAACGCUGGCGGCGUGCUUAACACAUGCAAGUCGAACGAAGCAACUUAUUACGAUCCCUUCGGGGUGACGAUUUGUUGACUGAGUGGCGGACGGGUGAGUAACGCGUGGGUAACCUACCUUGUACAGGGGGACAACAGUUGGAAACGACUGCUAAUACCGCAUAAGCGCACAGCUUCGCAUGAAGCGGUGUGAAAAGUUUUUUCGGUACAAGAUGGACCCGCGUCUGAUUAGCUAGUUGGUGAGGUAACGGCCCACCAAGGCGACGAUCAGUAGCCGACCUGAGAGGGUGACCGGCCACAUUGGGACUGAGACACGGCCCAAACUCCUACGGGAGGCAGCAGUGGGGAAUAUUGCACAAUGGGCGAAAGCCUGAUGCAGCGACGCCGCGUGAGCGAAGAAGUAUUUCGGUAUGUAAAGCUCUAUCAGCAGGGAAGAUAAUGACGGUACCUGACUAAGAAGCACCGGCUAAAUACGUGCCAGCAGCCGCGGUAAUACGUAUGGUGCAAGCGUUAUCCGGAUUUACUGGGUGUAAAGGGAGCGUAGGCGGUUUUACAAGUCUGAUGUGAAAGCCCGGGGCUCAACUCCGGUAUUGCAUUGGAAACUGUAGAACUAGAGUGUCGGAGGGGUAAGUGGAAUUCCUAGUGUAGCGGUGAAAUGCGUAGAUAUUAGGAGGAACACCAGUGGCGAAGGCGGCUUACUGGACG
rnacentral:rRNA from 1 species